rnacentral:rRNA from 1 species
UACGUAUGGUGCAAGCGUUAUCCGGAUUUACUGGGUGUAAAGGGAGCGCAGGCGGCGCGGCAAGUCUGAUGUGAAAGCCCGGGGCCCAACCCCGGGACUGCACUGGAGACUGCCGUGCUGGAGUGUCGGAGGGGUAAGCGGAAUUCCUGGUGUAGCGGUGAAAUGCGUAGAUAUCAGGAGGAACACCGGUGGCGAAGGCGGCUUACUGGACGAUGACUGACGCUGAGGCUCGAAAGCGUGGGGAGCAAACAGG